UCCGUAGGGUGACCUGCGGUAGGAUCAUUA
rnacentral:rRNA from 1 species